rnacentral:rRNA from 1 species
AAUAUUUGGAAAUGGGCGCAAGCCUGACCCAGCAACGCCGCGUGAGGGAAGAAGGUUUUCGGAUUGUCCACCUCUGUCCUUGGAGACAAAACAAAUGACGGUAGCCAAGGAGGAAGCCCCGGAUAACUACGUGCCAGCAGCCGCGGUAAUACGUAGGGGGCGACCGUUGUCCGGAAUUACUGGGCGUAAAGGGUGCGUAGGCGGUUGUUUAAGUUGGAUGUGAAAUACCCGGGCUUAACCUGGGGGGUGCAUUCAAAACUGGGCAACUAGAGUAUGGGAGAGGGAAGCGGAAUUCCUAGUGUAGCGGUGAAAUGCAUAGAUAUUAGGAGGAACACCAGUGGCGAAGGCGGCUUUCUGGACCAUAACUGACGCUGAAGCACGAAAGCGUGGGGAGCAAACA